rnacentral:lncRNA from 1 species
GGAACAAACCAGCUAAUUCCCUUUAGCAACAUACAGAGUACAAGGAGCAAGGUGGAGCUAAGUUAUGGUGGCUUAUUUCUAGAAGUGGGAAGGGAAUGAGAAUUUGUAUGGCACUCACUCUGUGCUAGGUACUGUGCUAAGUAUUUUUUACUAAUAUUAUAUCAUUUGAACUAUAGGAAUAUAAGGGAUAGAUUGGUUUCAAGGAUUAGUUAAAAGAAGGGAAUUUUGACACAAGCCCUGGGAGAGGAUUCUGGGAAGGAGAAAGGAAUUGUGGGAGUUUAAACUGAAAAUAACUGAACUUACUUGCCUCUUGGAUUUCCUCUGAUCUGGAAGUAGGUUGGAUUCUUUGUCUGAAUUUCUACCAAGCCGAAAGGUUUUGCUCUGAGAGAUUUUCCCAAGAUAGUCAAAAUUUUGUGGAGCAAUUUUGGACAUUUUGAUAGAGAAUUUAUUUGGAGGAAACUAUUUUUUUCUUGAGUCCAGAGAUCAUCUGCCAAUGGUUCAUCUGCCAGAAAUCCUCUUGGGCUAAGGUUAUCCAAAGAUUUUCAUCUGUUACUUUGGGUUACUUAGUGGAGCCAAACCCAGGUUUUCCCUUUCUUUUACUAAUCUCUAGUGGGAAGAUCAGGAUGGAGUCAGAUAGAUUGGGGAAGGAUUUUAGGUAGAACAGGGAGCUGUAAGCAGGGCCCAGAGAAGAAAGAAAAGGUUCUCCUUUCUCAGGAGACUUAGAAGGUGGGUAAAAUUAGUUUUAAGAGUGUUAGGGUCCUAUCUACCAGUUUCUCUUAUUCCCUUUAUAAAAUAAACUUUGUUUUUUUCUUAGAAACCAAGGGGUUUGUGCUUUACUGGCCCUGGAGAGUUCCUAGGUUCAAGAGGGAAUCAAGGAAAUCAGCGUACCUGCGCAGCCUGGGAUUAGAGCUCAUUCCCUCUAGUGCUCUCCUCAAACCUUUAUCUUCUCUCUGAUCCAAUAAUGAGAACUGUGUUUUGAAGGAAGACCCUGAAGUCAGGAGAAGGAAAUAAGGAGGGAGAGAAUCCCAGGCGUGGGAGAAGAGCCAGUGACAAUGAACAUUUGGGAGAUUGUUAUCAUGUUUGAGGAUCAGUAAGGAGGCCAGAGUAACUGACUGUAAGUAUCUGGAGCAUAGUUAGGUGUAAGAAGACUGGGAGAGUGGGAAGGGACCAAGUCAUAAAGGGCAUUAAAAACCAAAGACAUUAUAUGAAAUCAUAGAAGUAACAGGGAGCCUCUGGAGUGGCUGAUGGAUUGGCAUGGAGGAUUGAGAGGGUCAGGCUUGUGCUUAAGAAAGAGAUUUUUCAUCUGAAUGGAGGAUGGACUAGAGAGGAGAGACAUGAAACAGAAAGAUCUGAAAGGCUAUUGAAAUAGUCCAAAAUGAGGUAGUGAAGGCCUGAGCCAUAGUGGUGGCAGUCAGAGGAGGAAAGAGGGGUGUUACAAAGGUAG